CUUUAUAUAGGAUUCCGAUCUCUGCCACGGAUUAGAAUAAAAGGAUAUCGCCCGAUGAGGACAGACAGAGCACGUCAGCGCUGGCACUCCCAUAUACCUAGCCGUCGUCCUUGACGUCGCCGCAGAGAUUUUGGAACUUGCUGGGAAUGCAGCAAGGGACAACAAGAAGAGCAGGAUCGUUCCCAGGCACAUCCAACUUGCGGUGAGAAAUGACGAGGAGUUAUCAAAACUUUUGGGAGAGGUUACAAUCACCGGCGGCAUGAUGCCCAACAUCCGUAACCUCCUCCUUAAGAAGACAGGCCAAGGCCUUCUAAGGCUGCCCCUGGAGAUGAUGACUGAAUAAAGAUUCAAUCUUUUACAGACCUGCACCGAAUUGAAAAUCUUAGAAUGUGCCGAAGGUAUUUAUUUUUUAGAUGAAGAAAUAAAAAUACCACUUGACAAUAUUA